AGAGUUAAAAGGUGGGGUUUAGGAUUUAGGAUUUAGAGUUUAGGGUUUAGGGUUUAGAGUUUAAGGGUGGAGUUUAGGUUUUAGGGUUUAGAGUUAAAGGGUGGGAUUUAGGAUUUAGGGUUUAGGGUUUAGGGUUUAGGGUUUAGGGUUUAGAGUUUAGGUUUUAGGGUUUAGAGUUGAGAAUUGAGAUUUUGAGGAUAAGAUUUCAAAUUUUGAAAAAUAAAAAAAUUUUAAAUUUUUCAAAAGAUAAAAUGCUAUUUUGGUCAUUUUAGUUUUUGAGUGUUAUUUUUGUAAUA
rnacentral:lncRNA from 1 species